rnacentral:rRNA from 1 species
CCUACGGGAGGCAGCAGUAGGGAAUAUUGCUCAAUGGGGGAAACCCUGAAGCAGCAACGCCGCGUGGAGGAUGACGGUUUUCGGAUUGUAAACUCCUUUUUUUAGAGAAGAUAAUGACGGUAUCUAUCUAAUACUCACCGUCUAACUCCGUGCCAGCAGCCGCGGUAAUACGGAGGAUGCAAGCGUUACUCGGCAUCACUGGGCGUAAAGAGCGCGUAGUCGGUAUAGCAAGUCAGAUGUGAAAUCCUUUGGCUUAACCAUAGAACUGCAUUUGAAACUGUUAUUCUAGAGUAUGGGAGAGGUAGGUGGAAUUCUUGGGGUAGGGGUGAAAUGCGUAGAGAUCAAGAAGAAUACUGAUUGCGAAGGCGACCUACUAGAACAUAACUGACGCUGAUGCGCGAAAGCGUGGGGAGCAAACAGGAUUAGAUACCCGAGUAGUC